rnacentral:rRNA from 1 species
CACGUAGGGUGCGAGCGUUGUCCGGAAUUAUUGGGCGUAAAGAGCUCGUAGGCGGUGUGUCGCGUCGGCCGUGAAAACUUGCAGCUUAACUGUGGGCGUGCGGUCGAUACGGGCAUCACUGGAGUUCGGCAGGGGAGACUGGAAUUCCUGGUGUAGCGGUGAAAUGCGCAGAUAUCAGGAGGAACACCGGUGGCGAAGGCGGUUCUCUGGGCCUGUACUGACGCUGAGGAACGAAAGCGUGGGGAGCGAACAGG